rnacentral:rRNA from 1 species
UACACACCGCCCGUCACGUCAUGAAAGUCGGCAACACCUGAAGUCGGCGAGCCAACCCGCAAGGGAGGCAGCCGCCGAGGGUGGGGUUGGCGAUUGGGACG